rnacentral:rRNA from 1 species
UACGUAGGGUGCAAGCGUUAAUCGGAAUUACUGGGCGUAAAGCGUGCGCAGGCGGUUUUGUAAGUCUGACGUGAAAUCCCCGGGCUCAACCUGGGAAUUGCGUUGGAGACUGCAAGGCUGGAAUCUGGCAGAGGGGGGUAGAAUUCCACGUGUAGCAGUGAAAUGCGUAGAGAUGUGGAGGAACACCCGAUGGCGAAGGGCAGCCCCCUGG